GUGAAUGCUGGCGGCGUGGAUAAGUCAUGCAAGUCAAGGGGGCCCGUAAGGGCAACCGGCAGACGAGGUAGUAACACGUAGGUAGAUCCCCCGAAGUCGGGCAUAGCCAUCCGAAAGGAUGGGUAAUUCCCGAUAGUCCCGCAAGGGUAAAGGUUUUUCGCUUCGGGAGUUGCCUGCGUAGUAUCAGCUAGUUGGUAGGGUAACGGCCUACCAAGGCUACGACGCUUAGGGGAGCUGAGAGGCUGACCCCCACCGAUGGAACUGCGACACGGUCCAUACUCCUACGGGAGGCUGCAGACGAGAAUAUUCCGCAAUGGACGAAAGUCUGACGGAGCGACGCCGCGUGAUGGAUGAAGUGCCUUGGUACGUAAACAUCUUUUAUCGGGGACGAAGUUUAUUGACGGUACCCGAUGAAUAAGGAGCUCCUAACUCUGU
rnacentral:rRNA from 1 species